rnacentral:rRNA from 1 species
AGCGAACGCUGGCGGCAGGCCUAACACAUGCAAGUCGAACGAACCUUUCGGGGUUAGUGGCGGACGGGUGAGUAACACGUGGGAACGUGCCCUUAGGUUCGGAAUAACUCAGGGAAACUUGUGCUAAUACCGAAUGUGCCCUUCGGGGGAAAGAUUUAUCGCCUUUAGAGCGGCCCGCGUCUGAUUAGCUAGUUGGUUGAGGUAAUGGCUCACCAAGGCGACGAUCAGUAGCUGGUCUGAGAGGAUGAUCAGCCACAUUGGGACUGAGACACGGCCCAAACUCCGACGGGAGGCAGCAGUGGGGAAUCUUACGCAAUGGGCGAAAGCCUGACGCAGCCAUGCCGCGUGAAUGAUGAAGGUCUUAGGAUUGUAAAAUUCUUUCACCGGGGACGAUAAUGACGGUACCCGGAGAAGAAGCCCCGGCUAACUUCGUG